AGAGUUUGAUCCUGGCUCAGGAUGAACGCUAGCGGGAGGCCUAACACAUGCAAGCCGAGCGGUAUUGUUUCUUCGGAAAUGAGAGAGCGGCGUACGGGUGCGGAACACGUGUGCAACCUGCCUUUAUCUGGGGGAUAGCCUUUCGAAAGGAAGAUUAAUACUCCAUAAUAUAUUGAACGGCAUCGUUUAAUAUUGAAAGCUCCGGCGGAUAGAGAUGGGCACGCGCAAGAUUAGCUAGUUGGUGAGGUAACGGCUCACCAAGGCAAUGAUCUUUAGGGGGCCUGAGAGGGUGAUCCCCCACACUGGUACUGAGACACGGACCAGACUCCUACGGGAGGCAGCAGUGAGGAAUAUUGGUCAAUGGGUGCAAGCCUGAACCAGCCAUCCCGCGUGAAGGACGACUGCCCUAUGGGUUGUAAACUUCUUUUGUAUAGGGAUAAACCUACCCUCGUGAGGGUAGCUGAAGGUACUAUACGAAUAAGCACCGGCUAACUCCGUG
rnacentral:rRNA from 1 species